rnacentral:rRNA from 1 species
GACGAACGCUGGCGGCGUGCUUAACACAUGCAAGUCGAACGGCAAGGCCCUGCUUUUGUGGGGUGCUCUAUUGGCGAACGGGUGAGUUACCCGUGUGUAUCCUGCCCUUGACUUUGUGAUAUCUUCAGGUAACUGCUGCUAAUACCGUAUAGGUGCUCCUGCUGCAUUGUGUGGGUUGGUAAGUUUCGGCGUUUGGGGAUGGACUCGCGGCUUAUCAGCUUGUUUGUGGGGUAGUGGCUUACCAAGGCUUUGACGGGUAGCCGGCCUGAGAGGGUGACAGGCGACAUUGGGACUGAGAUACGGCCCAGACGCGUACGGGAGGGAGCAGUGGGGAAGAGAGCACAAUGGGCGGAAGCCUGAUGAAGCAACGCCGCGUGCGGGAUGAGGGCCUUCGGGUUGUAAACCGCUUUAGAAUGUGACGAAGCGUGAGUGACGGUAAUGGGUAAAGAAGCACCGGCUAACUACGUG